rnacentral:rRNA from 1 species
GUGAGGAAUAUUGGUCAAUGGACGAGAGUCUGAACCAGCCAAGUCGCGUGAAGGAAGACGGUUCUAUGAAUUGUAAACUUCUUUUGUGCAGGAAUAAAGUGGGUUACGUGUAACCUUUUGUAUGUACUGUACGAAUAAGGAUCGGCUAACUCCGUGCCAGCAGCCGCGGUAAUACGGAGGAUCCGAGCGUUAUCCGGAUUUAUUGGGUUUAAAGGGUGCGUAGGUGGAUUGAUAAGUCAGCGGUGAAAGUUUGCAGCUUAACUGUAAAAUUGCCGUUGAAACUGUCGGUCUUGAGUGCAAAUGAGGUAGGCGGAAUGUGUUGUGUAGCGGUGAAAUGCUUAGAUAUAACACAGAACACCGAUUGCGAAGGCAGCUUACUGGGAUGCAACUGACGCUCAUGCACGAAAGCGUGGGGAUCAAACAGGAUUAGAAACCCCUGUAGUCC